rnacentral:lncRNA from 10 species
UUUAUAUAUUAUACUUUUAUAUACUUUAUUCUGUUCAAAAUAUUUUCUAAUUAUCCUGGUAAUUUUUUAUUUGAUCUAUGAGUUAUUUAUAAGUGUAUUGUUUAAGUUUGAAGUAUUCAGGGCUUUUCUAGCAAUUAGUGACGUCUUUUCAUUCUGGCUUCCCUAGCUCUGAACCCUAUAACAUGUGAUCUUUGCAGGGCCCUGGGUAAUCUUGUCUUGCAGUCCAACUAUGGUAGCCUGACUUCUAAGGUGGCUCUCAAUGGUCCUUCCACCUCCUGAUCUACAUGCCCUUACAGAAAGAAUCCUUUCCCUUUGAGUAUGGGCUGGACCUAACGACUUGUUUCUAAUCAACAGAAUACAACAAAGGUAAUAGCAUAUUGCUUCUGUAAUUAGGUUAUAACAUAUCAUCGCUUCUGUUUUGCUAGCAGACUUGUUGGCUUUGAUGAGCAAGCUGCCAUGUUGAAGAAGCCUAUAUGGCAAGGAACUGAGGGUAGCCUCAAGCCAACAGCUAACAAGGAACAAGCACUUAGUCCAACAGCCCUCAAGGAACUGAAUCUUUCCAACAAUAAGAAAGUGAAUUUGGAAGAGAAUCCUCCCCAGUUGAGCUUUCAGGUAUGCUAUGGUCUGAAUGUUUGUGUCUCCUCAAAAUUCAUGUGGUAAAAUCUGAAUCCCCAAAGUGAUGGUAGUAGCAGGUGGGGCCUUUGGGAGGUGAUUAUGUAAUGAGAAUGGAGCCCUCAAGAAUGGAAUUAAUGUUCUUAUGGAAAGAACUCAUAAGAGAACUCUUGCCGCACCAUGUGAAGACACAGCAAUUGGACACAAAAUUCCUGACUACUCAACAAUCAGCUCUCAAGACUCCAGCAUACUGCGAUGGCCUCAAGAGGUUUUGGUAUGCCAUCCUGAGAGGAAAAUGUCUCAAACAUCCUUUGCUACUCUAAGUGUGAUUCCUGGACAAGAAAUACCAGCAUUACCUCGGAACUUGUUAGAAAUGCAAAAUAUCAGGCCCAAAUCCAGAGGUAAGGAGUUACCACCUGCAGUAUAACAAGACACCCAGGUGAUUCUAUGGAUCUAAAGACUGAGAAUUGUUGUUUUAAGCUAGAGUGAACAGGAGUGUAUAGUUUGAAAAUGCUUUUUUAUAGUUAUUUACAUGUUUUUUGAAAACAGCAUUACUGAGCUAUAUUUCACAUACCAAACAAUUCACCCACUUAAAGUGUGUUAUUCAGUGGUUUUUAAUAUAUUCAGAGUUGUGCAAUCAUCACCACAGUCCAUUUUAGAACACUUUCAUCUCCCCAACAAGAAAUCCAAUAGCCACAGCUGUUAUUCUCCAUUUCCCCUUCAUCCCUAGGAAACUGCUAAUUUACUUUCUGUCUCUAUGGAUUUGCCUGUCCAAGACAUUCCAUCCAUAUAAAUGGAAUCAUACAAUAUGUGGUGUUUUGUG